rnacentral:rRNA from 1 species
UGGGGAAUUUUGGACAAUGGGCGAAAGCCUGAUCCAGCAAUGCCGCGUGUGUGAAGAAGGCCUUCGGGUUGUAAAGCACUUUUGUCCGGAAAGAAAUCCUUGGCUCUAAUACAGUCGGGGGAUGACGGUACCGGAAGAAUAAGCACCGGCUAACUACGUGCCAGCAGCCGCGGUAAUACGUAGGGUGCAAGCGUUAAUCGGAAUUACUGGGCGUAAAGCGUGCGCAGGCGGUUUGCUAAGACCGAUGUGAAAUCCCCGGGCUCAACCUGGGAACUGCAUUGGUGACUGGCAGGCUAGAGUAUGGCAGAGGGGGUAGAAUUCCACGUGUAGCAGUGAAAUGCGUAGAGAUGUGGAGGAAUACCGAUGGCGAAGGCAGCCCCUGGGCCAAUACUGACGCUCAUGCACGAAAGCGUGGGGAGCAAACAGGAUUAGAUACCCUGGUAGUCCACGCCCUAAACGAUGUCAACUAGUUGUUGGGGAUUCAUUUCCUUAGUAACGUAGCUAACGCGUGAAGUUGACCGCCUGGGGAGUACGGUCGCAAGAUUAAAACUUAAAGGAAUUGACGGGG